GUGCUCGCUUCGGCAGCACAAAUACUAAAAUUGGAACGAUACAGAGAAGAUUAGCAUGACCCCUGCGAAAGGAUGACAUGCAAAUUCGUGAAGUGUUGCAUAUUUUU
ensembl:snRNA LOC120103386 U6 spliceosomal RNA